rnacentral:lncRNA from 1 species
ACAUAAUACAGUGGAAAUGGCAAGGGAUGAUGAAAGGUCAAGAUUAAACAAAAUCUUGUUGCCAUAUCAUCUGAAAUGGGAUGUAUAUAUAUGUAGGCAACAACAGCAAGAAAUCAUGGGCCAAGAACAUCGAAAUAUACAAAAAAACACACCUAAUAACAAACAGUAACUUCAGCAAUAGCUAUUAAAGCUAAAUAUUUUGAAUCAACAGUAGCAAUCAAUAUUCUUGCAGCCACACCAACUGUGAUGUGCGCCACAGCCUUUAAUAAGCCAGAGAUCAAGCAUUCUAAAUUUGCAACCGACUCAAAUUCUUGGUAAAGGAUUAGUUAUGUGGCAUACAACCGCAAACAGAAUAGGUGACUUAGGUACAACAGAAUAAUCAACCAUGACAUAACUUCCAUUAUGAGUUCAUCUCAUACAUUGGUAAAAUCACGGGGGCAGCAAUUUUAAGAUUAGUCUCAGACUUCAUGAUUGCAACAGUUGUCUAUGCAUUGGUAGCCAAAUUUUCCACAAAGUUAAAUUCAGCAAAGAUCAUCAUAAAUUUG